ACAAACUUGGUCAUUUAGAGGAAGUAAAAGUCGUAACAAGGUCUCCGUUGGUGAACCAGCGGAGGGAUCAUUACCGAGUUUACAAGCUCCCAAACCCCGUGCGAACCUACCCCGUACACGUUGCUUCGGCGGUGCCGCCCCGGGCGCGGGCCUCCCUCGCGGAGGCCCGCACGCCCCGGACCCAGGCGCCCGCCGGGGGACCCCCAAACUCUGUCUGCUCACCGCAGCGGUCUCCUCUGAGCCGCGCCCCCGGGCGCGGGAACAACACAACGAAUCAAAACUUUCAACAACGGAUCUCUUGGCUCUGGCAUCGAUGAAGAACGCAGC
rnacentral:misc_RNA from 1 species